UCAGUACGGCGAGUGAGCGGCAAAAGCUCAAAUUUGAAAUCUGCGUAAGCCGAGUUGUAAUUUGAAGAUGGCUACUUUGGUAAUGGCUCUGUCUAUGUUCCUGGAACAGGACGUCACAGAGGGUGAGAAUCCCGUGCGAUGAGAGUCCAUUACCGUGUAAAGUGCUUUCGAAGAGUCGAGUUGUUUGGGAAUGCAGCUCUAAGUGGGUGGUAAAUUCCAUCUAAAGCUAAAUAUUGGCGAGAGACCGAUAGCGAACAAGUACAGUGAUGGAAAGAUGAAAAGAACUUUGAAAAGAGAGUGAAAAAGUACGUGAAAUUGUUGAAAGGGAAGGGCUUGAGAUCAGACUUGGUAUUUUGUAUGGCUUGCUUUCGGGCGGGUCCUCUGCAGUUUACUGGGCCAGCAUCGGUUUGGGUGGCAGGAUAAUAGCAUAGGAAUGUGGCUCUACUUCGGUGGAGUGUUAUAGCCUUUGUUGAUACUGCCUGCCUAGACCGAGGACUGCGUCUUUUGACUAGGAUGCUGGCAUAAUGAUCCUAAGCCGCCC
rnacentral:sRNA from 1 species